AGAGAAGUGGCUUAGUGGUAGGGCACAGGACUUGCAUGCCUGAGGUUCCCAGCACUGUAUAUAUGAGGGGUGCUCUGUUUCUCUG
rnacentral:tRNA from 1 species